CCACUCUCAGCUGCUCACCGCAGGAGCAGGCAAAGAUCUCCUGAAGCUGCAGACAAACGAGCAGUGCUUACACCAAGCCAAGGAUGUUUCAGCUUCUCAUUGUCCUGCCAGCGGGCAGGCUGGGGGUGCAAGGCUGGAAGGAGGUCCGGACUACUCCGCGUUAGGCUUGGCAUCAGUCAGCAGGCUUCACUUUCCCAUUUCCCUCUCCCAUCGCAGAGAAGGAGGGGGGGAAGGUGAGCGAGGGGCUGUGUGUUGUUUAGCUGCCCACUGGGUUAAACCACAACAGAAAGAAAAGCUGUAAAUGAACUUGUAAAGGAAAUUAGAAAAUUGGCCCACGUCCCAGCACAAACCUGGAAGGAUAUGGAAUAGGAUUUAUUUUCAUGGCUGCCUAGUGGACCAUGGGUUAAGAGUGUUAUUGCUAUUGUUACGUGGUGUAAUGAUGUUAUUGUUUAUACCUUGUAUGAUACCUUGCCUUACGUUAUUAAUAGACUGGGUUAUAAAUAGUACAUUGGUAAUGACUUCAUUAAAAAAGGAAGGGGAUAUGUCAAUUAUGAUGCUUAAGGAUUGGACCCUCCAAGAACGGACUGAUGAAAUCCAGUUAUUAACAACAGAAGAGACACAAAUUGGGGAUAUUAAAAGAUAAGGGAUUGUUAGGAAUGUUUUAACAAUUUGUGUCAAUAAAGAACAGUCCACUUGCUUCCCGCUUCCCAACUGAUCCAUUAACAAAUGUCAGCAGAGCUAAAUCAUGCUUGAAGCCAAGGAUGAAGCCAAACUUUUCCAUUUCAGUUACAUGCUCUAACACUGGGACCUUGUACCUCACAUCAUCUCCAUUUAGUGUACGAAGGAGAGAGUCAGGAAUGGAACAGAUGCUUUGAUAUUCAAUCUUCCUACAAACCAGUUGUGACUGAAGCUUAUUGACAGAACUACAGCAAACCACAGAGGAAGGUAGUAUUUAAAUCCCUCACAGUUAAUGUAACAGCUAAAUGUGCAAGUGUCCUGAGACACAGGGACAAUCAGUUCUGAAAGAAUACAUCUUCUGAA